rnacentral:rRNA from 1 species
CAAUAGCGUAUAUUAAAGUUGUUGCAGUUAAAAGCUCGUAGUUGGAUUUCUGGUGGGAGCGAUCGGUCUGGCGCUUAGCGCGAGUACUUGCAUCGUCUCCGGCCAUCCUUGGGGAGAGUCUGUCUGGCAUUAGGUUGUCGGGCAGAGGAUCCUCAUCGUUUACUGUGAAAAAAUUAGAGUGUUCAAAGCAGGCUUAUGCCGUUGAAUAUGUUAGCAUGGAAUAAUAAGAUAGGACUUUGGUACUAUUUUGUUGGUUUGCGCACCAAAGUAAUGAUUAAUAGGGACAGUUGGGGGUAUUCGUAUUCCGUUGUCAGAGGUGAAAUUCUUGGAUUUACGGAAGACGAACUACUGCGAAAGCAUUUACCAAGGAUGUUUUCAUUAA